GACGAACGCUGGCGGCGUGCUUAACACAUGCAAGUCGAACGAUGAAGCCCAGCUUUUCUGGUGCAUUAGAGUUGCAAGCGUGUGUGUAACGCGUGUAUACCCUGCCUAACACUGGGGGAUGACUGGGAGAAACGGUCUCUAAUACCGCAUAAGAGCCUAUGUCGCAUUGGGUGUGGGAAAGAGUUAGCGCUUGUGGUUGGACACGCGGCCCAUCCGCUUGUUGGUGAGGUGAUGGGUCAUCACGGCGCCGGCGGGUAGCCGGCCUGAGAGGGUGACCGGCCACAGUGGGACUGAGGCACGGCCCAGAGUCCUACGGGAGGCAGCAGUGGGAAAUAUUGCACAAUGGGCGGAAGCCUGAUGCAGCGACGCCGCGUGAGGGAUGACGGCCUUCGGGUUGUAAACCGCUUUCGGUUGGGAAGAAGCGAAAGUGACGGUACCUUCAGAAGAAGCACCGGCUAACUACGUG
rnacentral:rRNA from 1 species